rnacentral:rRNA from 1 species
GAUGAACGCUAGCGGCAGGCUUAAUACAUGCAAGUCGAGGGGCAGCAUGACUGUAGCAAUACAGUUGAUGGCGACCGGCAAACGGGUUCGGAACACGUACAGAAACUUCCUUCGAGCGGGGAAUAGCCCAGAGAAAUUUGGAUUAAUACCCCAUAGUAUUACGGAGUGGCAUCACUUUGUAAUUAAAGAUUUAUAACUUGAAGAUGGCUGUACGGUUGAUUAGGUAGUUGGCGGGGUAACGGACCACCAAGCCUGCGAUCAGUAACUGGUGUGAGAGCACGACCAGACACACGGGCAUUGAGACACGGGCCCGACUCCUACGGGAGGCAGCAGUAAGGAAUAUUGGUCAAUGGACGAAAGUCUGAACCAGCCAUGCCGCGUGGAGGAUGAAGGUCCUCUGGAUUGUAAACUUCUUUUAUAUGGGACGAAAAAGGGUCUUUCUAGAUCAACUGACGGUAUCAUAUGAAUAAGCACCGGCUAACUCCGUGCCAGCAGCCGCAGUAAUAC